GGAGGAAAAGAAACCAACAGGGAUUGCCCUAGUAACGGCGAGUGAAGCGGCAACAGCUCAAAUUUGAAAUCUGGCGUAAGCCCGAGUUGUAAUUUGUAGAGGAUGCUUCUGGGUAGCGGCCGGUCUAAGUUCCUUGGAACAGGACGUCAUAGAGGGUGAGAAUCCCGUAUGUGACUGGCUUGCACCCUCCACGUAGCUCCUUCGACGAGUCGAGUUGUUUGGGAAUGCAGCUCUAAAUGGGAGGUAAAUUUCUUCUAAAGCUAAAUACCGGCCAGAGACCGAUAGCGCACAAGUAGAGUGAUCGAAAGAUGAAAAGCACUUUGGAAAGAGAGUUAAAAAGCACGUGAAAUUGUUGAAAGGGAAGCGCCCGCAACCAGACUUUGCGGCGGUGUUCGGCUGGUCUUCUGACCGGUUUACUCGCCGCCGUGAGGCCAUCAUCGUCUGGGACCGCUGGAUAAGACCUGAGGAAUGUAGCUCCCUUCGGGGUGUGUUAUAGCCUCUGGUGAUGCAGCGCGUCUCGGGCGAGGUCCGCGCUUCGGCAAGGAUGAUGGCGUAAUGGUUGUCGGCGGCCCGUCUUGAAACACGGWCCAAGGAGUCUAACAUCUAUGCGAGUGUUCGGGUGUCAAACCCCUACGCGUAAUGAAAGUGAACGGAGGUGGGAACUUUUUGUGCACCAUCGACCGAUCCUGAUGUCCUCGGAUGGAUUUGAGUAAGAGCAUAGCUGUUGGGACCCGAAAGAUGGUGAACUAUGCCUGAAUAGGGUGAAGCCAGAGGAAACUCUGGUGGAGGCUCGCAGCGGUUCUGACGUGCAAAUCGAUCGUCAAAUUGGGGUAUAGGGGCGAAAGACUAAUC
rnacentral:rRNA from 1 species